rnacentral:rRNA from 1 species
GACAGAGGGGGCAAGCGUUGCUCGGAAUCACUGGGCGUAAAGGGCGCGUAGGCGGGAUGGCAAGUCAGUCGUGAAAUCUCCCGGCUCAACCGGGAGGGUGCGCCGAAAACUGGGAGACUAGAGUGCGGGAUGGGAGGGUAGAAUUCCUGGUGUAGCGGUGAAAUGCGCAGAUAUCAGGAGGAACACCAAUGGCGAAGGCAGCUCGCUGGAACGGUACUGACGCUGAGGCGCGAAAGCGUGGGGAGCGAACAGG